GGAGGCUCCUCUUCGGUGAGGUCUUUGUCUUUGAUGUCAGACUCUAGUGCUAUGCUCCGACUUUCUUCGACUCCGAGUUUAGCCUUUAGCUCAUUGAUCUCGCUAAGGAGAGACUGCUUGUCAAGGCGGAGCGCAUCAACAUCGACACGGAGGUUAUCAUAGCUCGAUUUCAGCGCAGCAUACCCACGCUCGAGCUGCUUUGUCUUCCACCGUGCGCGGCGGUUCUGGAACCAGACAGCAACCUGGCGUGGCUCGAGACCGAGCUCCUGUGCGAGACGAGUCUUGCGCUCGGGGUCCAGCUUGUUUUCCACCUCGA
rnacentral:misc_RNA from 1 species